AUGUCGUCAUUCCACCAGACCAUACUUGUGCAGGGGCUCGCACUCCUCCUUGACGUGAUCCUCCACAUUGAACUUGUAGAGGACGAAGAGGAACAUCUGGCGCCACUUCCAGUAGUUGUUGGUUUCGAGACUGAGCUUGAAUGGAAUGUAAGAAGUAUUGCUGAUAUGAUGCAUGGAAGGAGCAGGGACCUGGGGACCUGGGUGAGGAAGCAACGCCGGCGGGGGGUGAGGGCAUUCGAAGUAAGGUGCAAUUCACGAAUGAUGGUAGCUUGGAAAAACGGAAACAAAGUGAAAAUACGAAAACCAAACGGAAUAUUGUGA
rnacentral:rRNA from 1 species